rnacentral:rRNA from 1 species
UACGAAGGGGGCUAGCGUUGCUCGGAAUCACUGGGCGUAAAGGGUGCGUAGGCGGGGCUUUAAGUCAGGGGUGAAAUCCUGGAGCUCAACUCCAGAACUGCCUUUGAUACUGAAGAUCUUGAGUUCGGGAGAGGUGAGUGGAACUGCGAGUGUAGAGGUGAAAUUCGUAGAUAUUCGCAAGAACACCAGUGGCGAAGGCGGCCCACUGGCCCGAUACUGACGCUGAGGCACGAAAGCGUGGGGAGCAAACAGG